CUCUAGAAGCACCUUAUAGAUCCUUCAAGAGCUGGGAAUGGACAGCCUGCAUUCUACUGGUUAUUUUCUUUCCUCCAUCUCUAUGUACUUAUGAUCCCUACUUUGUGGUGUACAAACUAUUCUCAUUACAGGUUAACAUCUACAUGAACCAACGGGCAUGGUCAUCCAAUGGCAUGGAGGUUUUGUCUUGGUGUCUGGACGCUAUGUUGAAGGCUCUGUUCUUUCUGAGGCAAAGGAGAAAGUGGCUGGACACAUAGUCAGCCAGAUGUUUAGACUGCAUUUGGCAUUUUUAACAACCUGUCAAGUCCUCCCCAAGGACCCAGCAACAAUACAUUUAUGAACAUGAAACAUCAAGAAAGGAAAAGAGGACUCAUGAGACAUAUGCCUGAAAUCACGAAGGAAAUAUUAAGCACUGGAAAUACUUUCUUUUUCCGUUUCCUAAACCAAAAUAUUUUGUGAAAUAUUGUCUUUAAAAAGUCUGUUUAUAAUUUUCAGUAAAAUACAGAACAAUUCUAAAUUAUUGGGAAAUAAAUUUGUUUAUUUCAGUGAUUGAGCUACAUGAAAAUAGCAAGACAACAGCUAAGACAGUAAAGUAAUGGUGUAAUGAAAGAAGCAAUAUAAAACAGAGAAUAUUUUGUUGACAGGAAUAUUGGAAGUGGACUAAGGGAUCAGUCCUGAUGAAAAUGGUGAUAUUUGAGUUGGCAUGUAGGAGAAAAUUAGUAGCCAAGAAUCUCAAUUUUUAGUUUCUUUGCUUGCACUGUGAGGAAUGCAUUAGUUGUAUAUCUGGGUGCCUCAAAUUGAUUGUCAGAACUUGGUUUGUAUAAUCUCUACUGGCCUGAAAUUGUAAAAAUGGGCUCUAUAAAGUAUUGGAGUCAUGGGAAUUGCAAUGAAAAAUUUCAGAUUGCUUAUACUGUAUGUAGUCCCUACAUUUUGUUUGUUGAUUUCACAGUGGCUUCUGUAACUUUUCUAUACUGUAACAGUCACUUUUCUGAAAUGAUAUAGGGUUUCCUGCUUGAACAGGGGUUGAACUAGAAGACCUCCAUGAUCCCUUCCAACUCUAUUACUCUCUAUUCUGUAUACAGCCCUGUCUGUCCCAGAAGUUAAACUGGAAAAAGUAUUUUGAGAAUUACAACUGAUUUUAGCAAUAGUGUUAUUGUGAAGUUUUUGAAGUUUUUAAGAAUAGGAGAAGCCUAUUCUUGUUGGAAUCAUCUUCUCCCAAAGAAUUAUUCUCAAUUGCAAGUAAAAAAUUGAUUUGAGAUCAAUAAAGGCUCUAUAUAGGACAGAUAACUACGUGGGUUGUGUAUGUAUGUUUACUUCUGUUUGUCAUAUUCUCACCAUACCCUAAAUAAAUAAUAAAUAAUAUGAUAGAUAUAUUUUUGUUGUGUUUUGUUUUUCAGUAAGAUAACAUAGGACCAAAUCACUGUCCAUUGUAAAACAAGGCAAAACCAGCUUGCUCAUUACUACAAAUUAAUUCAGUCAUUAACUAUUCUUGUAAUUUCCAAUUCAGAUAGCUAGCACCGAGUUAAUUAUGAUAUUUAGAAGGCUUAUAGUACAACAGUUAGAGUGCAAUGCCUUCAAUCAGCUUUUUUAAAAUAUUGAGUCAUUCUACAGCCAAGGGAAUAUGGUCUGUAUAAUACAUACUCUGCAAGACAAGAAAGAUACCAGAAUGGAAACCCACAAGUUAGCUAGGAUAAUACGAGUGAUUUUUGAAAACAAUUGCUUUUCUUGUCAUUCCUCUUCAAAGAAGGGCUUGAUUGAAAUAGUUUUGAAAUAUUUGUAGUUUAAUUUUGAUAUUGAUAUGCCAUCAAAUCUUGACUGAAUUUAUUUAGUGAACUGAAUGAAAA